AUAAAUAUGGGGUACAUGUGAAUGUCAACAACUAACUUGAAAUGGUGGGAAAAUAUUUUGAGAGGCUACGACGUUUGGUAUAGAUCUGAUUGAAGUAAAUUUUCCCUGAUCCAUAUAAAGAACAUACAAAUCUUGUAACUUCUUGGGCGCGCAACAGCCCGCAUUGGCCAACACCUUGGAUGAGAACUUUUUCAACGAGUUGAACGCUUCAAUGAUGGCUUGCGAUAGAAUUUGGACGAUUGGGUCAUUUCCAACAGUAUAUUGGUGUCCAACGUGGUAUUGAAUUACUUCAAAAUGAGGAAGUGAAAUCUUAAGAAUGGCAAUGAUACGAAUAAAUGUGCGACUGUUACCUUGGCUUCAUGAAAUAUUGGACGGUAGCGUGGGAAGAUGUUUUUAUAAGUACAAGAGGGGAUCAAAGGUAAUGGAAGUUGAACCGAAACUUUCAAGGUAUUUCCUGCACUUUUAACAUCAAGUGGAAUGAUAAAUUAAUGAUCAGGACGAAAAUGAACGUUUAUAGUUAUAGCGCCCGUUUACUGUAAACUACACCCGUAAUGGAACAUAAUUUAAUUAACGAAAUGAGUACCCACUUCAAAAAUAUUGAGUGCAAAAACAGCAGCUGAUAUCACAUUUAAUCACAAAUACACUCAUUUGAAUGUUAUACAAUGCUUUCACAAUAUCACCUUUUUACUAAGACUGUUGCACGGGUCAUCUGAAGUGACACAUAUGACGCACGCGCUGACUUGAAAUACGUGGGCGACGAACUUGAAGAGGAGGGUGCAAGAGGGUCAGCUACAUAGAAGAGGCCCAAUUUAAAGGGUGCAUGAAAUUGCAGUUCGUUGAUAAAUCUGCCCAGUUACUGAAAUUUAUUCGGGCAAUGUUUGUGAAAUCAUUCGUCUCCCCCUCCAAGGUCCACGGUCCACCAGUACCUGUUCAGUACAGUAGGAAUAAUCUAAAUUGAAAUAUUUAGUUUGGUCUAAAAAGAGACAAGCAACGCCACUCGCAAGUCGCAAUUUUGGAAUAUUGCCUUGAUUGCAUGGUUUAAUCAUGUUUCAGCUCUAAGAGUUACUGACCUACUUCAGUGAUAUUGCUGAAGUGUGCGUGGCUUUAAAACCGUAGAAAACUUUGGGAUGAAGUGGGUAGGAUGAGAUGAGACAUUUCUUGAUUUCCGUUGGCAAUUACUGCCAACGCACAUCCGAACAUUACAUAACAUAAAUAUCAGAGACGUUAAUCAUUCCAAGUGCCCCAGUUAAAGCGUCACCAACUGUUCAAUUUCUUUCUCGUCAGUGCUAUAUCGUUUUUAUGUUCGAGAUAUAAAAUA